CAGUAGCCGCGGUAAUACAGAGGGUGCGAGCGUUAAUCGGAUUUACUGGGCGUAAAGCGUGCGUAGGCGGCUUCUUAAGUCGGAUGUGAAAUCCCUGAGCUUAACUUAGGAAUUGCAUUCGAUACUGGGAAGCUAGAGUAUGGGAGAGGAUGGUAGAAUUCCAGGUGUAGCGGUGAAAUGCGUAGAGAUCUGGAGGAACACCGAUGGCGAAGGCAGCCAUCUGGCCUAAUACUGACGCUGAGGUACGAAAGCAUGGGGAGCAAACAGGAUUAGAUACCCCGGUAGUCCCUGUCUCUUAUAC
rnacentral:rRNA from 1 species